UCCCUGCAGAUGGAGGGAAAGCAGCUAAGUAGUGUCAGCUGAAAACGCAUCGGGGUUGGGAUAACAGUAUAAAUGUGGAACACAUGGCAGAUUAAUACUGGAAUUAACAAGAGUCUUAUCUGGAGGCGUUCAAAAGAGCUACUGAGGUGGCUGUCCUGUACCGGAGUCCAAAGAGAUAGUAGGGGCCUGAUUUUUUAAAGAGGUGCUGAUCAUGCACAUCUCAGACCGGCUUUACAGGGAUCGCUGAAAUAUCAUGCUCCUACUUUUUACUUGGAGGUUCUUUCCAAUAUCGUAUCUUCUCCAAUAACCCCGUACCGAGCUAGACUGCUUUGGGUGACCACGUAGUAAUACUGUCUGCCUUCUUUAAAGUGACGGCUGGGAACUGGCUGUUGGCUGAAAUGAAGGCAGCCGCUUGGGGCCCGAUCCUCCCUCCACUGGGUGGGAGUGUAGCUUGCAAGAUAGCUGCGGGAUCAGGCCGUUCCUGAGAGCGGUGCCCCUGGGACAGAAGGGUGAUCUGAUUCCUUCCCCCAAAGAAGAGAGCCGCUGCCAGGAAAGGGAACGAGAAAAAGGACCGUCCUUGCCAAGGCUUACUUUGAGUGUUUGGCGUUUGCAAUACCUUGCUAAACUCGCAGGUCUAAAGCAAUGAUCAAACGAGUCCCCAAACCCUGCCAAGUGUAAACUCAAAUAUUUUGCAUGGGCUAAUUCUUGAAAGCCAGCAGCACGGAAGUCCGUGGGGCCAGGAUGUCACUCAUUGGCUCCUGUAUUCCGUACACAGCAGUCUGCAGCUUCGGGGACUACGUGCAGUGUGACGAAUGGAAGGAGCUUCGGGCUACGUGACUGAGCCCCUCCGCUGGAGACGCACGCACCUGUCUCUGUUCAGGAAAUCCCGACGGAUGCGCUUAUCACCUUCUUUAAGCAGAGCGCCGCUUUAACAUACGAAAGAGCCUCUGGUUGCACUCGAAUAGGAAGCAACCCAAUUGUGUGUGCGCGCGCGCUCGCUGUAGGGGGGGGGGUGGUAUCUAUUCUCGGGGCAUCUUGCGAACUGCUUCCCUCCAGAGACUCUUAGGGGGACUUGGGAAAUACUAUGUAACGAGAGAUUGGCGUCACCGGGCCAGUCUGUGUUUGAGAUUGUAUCUGCUGUUCCGAGUAAUCCUGGUCAGAGUAAUAAUUAGCACAGGAAAGAGCGAUCGCCAGUAGCAAUUGCUAAUA